rnacentral:rRNA from 1 species
GACGAACGCUGGCGGCAUGCCUAAUACAUGCAAGUCGAACGAGCUUCCGUUGAAUGACGUGCUUGCACUGAUUUCAACAAUGAAGCGAGUGGCGAACUGGUGAGUAACACGUGGGAAAUCUGCCCAGAAGCAGGGGAUAACACUUAGAAACAGGUGCUAAUACCGUAUAACAACAAAAUCCGCAUGGAUUUUGUUUGAAAGGUGGCUUCGGCUAUC